AAGAACCUCCAAAAGAUGGGCAUUUUGAUGCCUUGUGGCCCUUACCUCUACAAAGUGAGCAAAACUUUGUUCUUGGCUUGCUGACAUUCUCAUAAACAGGCUUUGCUCUUGCAUUGGUUGGUCGGCCUCAAUCCCGCUUCCUUGAUAUAACAUUCAUUGAGCUGGCCAAACCUGUUCUUCCUGGUGUGAUAGGCAUGGCACUCCCACUUAGUUCAGCCGCUGUCUGAUCUUGUAACCCGAGGCCAUCACUCUCCUGGUUUGUAUCCUUCAGGACAUCUAUUGCAUCUAGCAAGUGCUUCAUUGCAGCUCCAUAAGCUUCAGUAUUCUUAUCCCCCAUCUUUACAAUCUCAAGUGCCUUACUAUACAAGUGGGAAUG
rnacentral:lncRNA from 1 species